ensembl:lncRNA
AAAUUUGAGGAUGGCAUUAACCUUAACCCAACUUCUUUUCCAAGUAUGCAGAAGAAAACGAUGAGAUCCACAGACACCUUGGACUCUGGAUUCGAGCUGGAUCAUACCACAGCAGAAACAGAUCAAGAGGACGUGAUAGAGGUGAGAGAACAAUGACCAGGUCCUGACGUUCCUGAUAUAGAGUCAGGUCCAUAAAUAUUUGGACAGAGACAACUUUUUUCUAAUUUUGGUUCUGUACAUCACCACAGUGAAUUUUAAAUGAAACCCCGCCUCCCCUGUGUUAGAGCCCAUGCCAUAACACUGCCUCAGACACGUGCAGCUCUGCAGAUGCUUUAAAGUCUGAUCUAACCUUCCUGUUCCUGAGUGUACCCACAGGUUUGCACCUUGUUAUAAACUCUCCAUGAAGGAGUCUCUUGAUUGUCAACCUUCUGAUCCUCCUGCAGAGUUCCUGACUUGGUUAGAUGUUGUAAAAUUGUUUUUCUAACUGUGGAAAUAAUUCAGUCAUCAUGACCUUUAGCUGUCUUCUGUGGUCAUUCAGGUGUUUUGGCGUUGCUUAGCUGCUCAGUGCAGUCCUUCUUUUAAUAAUAAAUGAGAUUGUAGUUUUGAGGUUCUUGCUCUCUCUGACUGGUUUAUUUGGGUU